AACGAACGCUGGCGGCAGGCCUAACACAUGCAAGUCGAGCGCGCCCUUCGGGGUGAGCGGCGGACGGGUGAGUAACGCGUGGGAACGUGCCCUUUUCUACGGAAUAGCCUCGGGAAACUGAGAGUAAUACCGUAUACGCCCUUUGGGGGAAAGAUUUAUCGGAAAAGGAUCGGCCCGCGUUGGAUUAGGUAGUUGGUGGGGUAAUGGCCUACCAAGCCGACGAUCCAUAGCUGGUUUGAGAGGAUGAUCAGCCACACUGGGACUGAGACACGGCCCAGACUCCUACGGGAGGCAGCAGUGGGGAAUCUUAGACAAUGGGGGCAACCCUGAUCUAGCCAUGCCGCGUGAGUGAUGAAGGCCUUAGGGUUGUAAAGCUCUUUCAGCUGGGAAGAUAAUGACGGUACCAGCAGAAGAAGCCCCGGCUAACUCCG
rnacentral:rRNA from 1 species